rnacentral:rRNA from 1 species
GAGUUUGAUUCUGGCUCAGAACGAACGCUGGCGGCGUGGAUAAGACAUGCAAGUCGAACGCUCAUUUCUGUGUAGCAAUAUACGGGAGUGGGAGUGGCGCAAGGGUGCGUAACACGUGGAUCAUCUGCCUGAAAGUUCGGAAUAAUUCCUCGAAAGAGGGACUAAUGCCGGAUGUGGUUGUAAAACUAAAGCUGGGGACCGCAAGGCCUGGCGCUUUCAGAUGAGUCCGCGGCCUAUCAGCUAGUUGGCGGGGUAACGGCCCACCAAGGCUAAGACGGGUAGCUGGUCUGAGAGGACGACCAGCCUCACUGGAACUGAGACACGGUCCAGACACCUACGGGUGGCAGCAGUCGAGAAUUUUUCUCAAUGGGCGAAAGCCUGAAGGAGCGACGCCGCGUGGGGGAUGAAGGGCUUCGGUCCGUAAACCCCUGUCAUUUGCGAACAAACCUUAUGAUUGAACAUUUCAUGAGCUGAUUGUAGCGAAAGAGGAAGGGACGGCUAACUCUGUGCCAGCAGCCGCGGUAAUUCCAGCUCCAAUAGGAUAUAUCAAAGUUGUUGCAGUUAAAAAGCUCGUAGUUGAAUUUCUGGAAGGUAGAAGUGUUUUUUUAGAGAAGCAAUUUUUUAUGAGAAGCACCGCUUUCCAUUUUGUGGAUUUCUGUUUUGUAUGAAGAUAGUUUACUCUAUUUUUGUAUAAAAUACCACUCCGUCACUGAGAGCAAAUUGGAGUGCUCAAAGCAGGCUUUAUUAGCUUUGAACAUUUUAGCUUGGAAUGACAAGAUAUGACUUUUGUUUUAUUUUGUUGGUUAUGAAAUAAAAGUAAUGAUUAACAGGAACAGUUGCGGGGGUACUCGUAUUGAAAGGUCAGAGGUGAAAUUCUUGGAUUCUUUCAAGACGAACGACUGCGAAAGCAUUUACCAAGGAUGUUUUCAUUAAUCAAGAACGAAAGCUCGGGGAUCGAAGAUGAUUAGAUACCAUCGUAGUCCGACGCCAUAAACGAUGCCGACUCGGGAUUAUUUUGUUCGUUUACAUUAAAAAAGAACACAAAGUAGCACCGUAUGAGAAAUCAAAGUCUUUGGGUUCCGGGGGGAGUAUGGUCGCAAGGCUGAAACUUAAAGGAAUUGACGGAAGGGCACACCAGAGGUGGAGCCUGCGGUUUAAUUUGACUCAACACGGGGAAACUUACCAGGUCCAGACAUGAUGAGGAUUGACAGUUUGAAAGCACUUUCUUGAUUUCAUGGGUGGUGGUGCAUGGCCGUUCUUAGUUGGUGGAGUGAUUUGUCUGGUUGAUUCCGAUAACGAACGAGACGGGGUGAAUUUACUAGUUUGUUAUAUAAUUUACGUUAUAUAAGACUUCUUUAUUCGACAACUUGGUUUUACCAAGAGGAAGCGCCCCGCAAUAACAGGUCUGUGAUGCCCUUAGAUGUUCUGGGCUACACGCGCGCUACAAUGACGAAUUCAACGAGUUUAAAUUAAUUCCUUAUCCGGAAGGAUGUGGGUAAUCUUUUCAAUAUUCGUCGUGAUGGGGCUAGAUUUUUGCAAUUAUUAAUCUUCAACGAGGAAUCUCUAGUAUGUGCAAGUCAUCAGCUUGCGCAGAAUGCGUCCCUGCCCUUUGUACACACCGCCCGUCGCACCUACCGAUUGGACGAUCCGGCAAGAUGUUUGGAGUUGUUUUGAUUGUAGAGUAAUUUAUGAUGAAAAUGACAAAGCUCUUCAAACCUUAUCGUCUAGAGGAAGGUGAAGUCGUAACAAGG